rnacentral:rRNA from 1 species
GUAAUGCCGGAUGCUCCAGUUGACCGCAUGGUCCUCUGGGAAAGCUUUUGCGGUAUGGGAUGGGGUCGCGUCCUAUCAGCUUGAUGGCGGGGUAACGGCCCACCAUGGCUUCGACGGGUAGCCGGCCUGAGAGGGCGACCGGCCACAUUGGGACUGAGAUACGGCCCAGACUCCUACGGGAGGCAGCAGUGGGGAAUAUUGCACAAUGGGCGCAAGCCUGAUGCAGCGACGCCGCGUGCGGGAUGACGGCCUUCGGGUUGUAAACCGCUUUUGACUGGGAGCAAGCCCUUCGGGGUGAGUGUACCUUUCGAAUAAGCACCGGCUAACUACGUGCCAGCAGCCGCGGUAAUACGUAGGGUGCAAGCGUUAUCCGGAAUUAUUGGGCGUAAAGGGCUCGUAGGCGGUUCGUCGCGUCCGGUGUGAAAGUCCAUCGCUUAACGGUGGAUCCGCGCCGGGUACGGGCGGGCUUGAGUGCGGUAGGGGAGACUGGAAUUCCCGGUGUAACGGUGGAAUGUGUAGAUAUCGGAAAAAAAACACCA